AAUGGUGAAUGGAGGAAGCCCUCUUCCCAUCUCAGGGGGAGCCUCGAAGAAACUGUUCAGGAAGCAGACUUGUCAGUUGUUCAGUUGCUGACCUAGGUGGUGUCCCUUGGGUUUGGGGGCUGCAAAGCCUUGCUGCUGUUGUUGGGAGGCACUUCCUUAGCCAUGGUGGGCACAGGAGUCACCAGGUAAGGCACUCCUUGUCUUUGCAGUGUGUUACCACAUCCAAGUGCCUCAGUAGGUGGAGUGGGGAGUGGAUGCAGAUGCCAGCUGGCCAUGGCUGUCAUUGCAUCCUCAACCAAAGUGAUGCUGAAGGAGGUGCAACUACUGCUUCUGAAAUACACAGGCUACUGCCAACUUAGCUUUGAUGUCUCCUGCCUUCCAAGACCACACCCACUCACAACGGAAAGGGACAGGGCUGCUAUCCAGCUGACGAGCACCCAUGGGAACAUCAUGGUGAGGACUAUGCUCUGCUAAGGGCAAUGGCUGAGGGAGAGCAGAGAGCCAGCCUGUCUCCUUUCAAGGUCAGAUGAUAGGUGACUGGCCAUCUUCCUCUUUCUCAGCCUCUACAGAGGACUUGCAGACCCUGUGGUUCAAGGCUGUGGUGGCAUCAGACAUUGGCUGAUCACAGUGUGAAGUCAGACAGCAUAAUCUGUGCAUGCUGUUCCCUAGGUAACAAUCACAGACUGUGCACAGCCCUGAACACGCUUGCAAACUCGUUGCAGUACCGCCACCAGUGUGCAUCUGGCCCUGCCCCUCUCUCACCAUGAUAUUACACAUUGGGACCUUUAGUGGCCUGUGGCUAUGUCUGCUGCCAGGCCCUGCUCUACUAUGGAGUUACCACACAGACCCUCAGUGGCCUAUGGGAACUUUAUUUUGACACAGGGUUUCACUCUGCAGCCCCACUGUAACUGGCCCUCUUUCAGGUCAGCCUUGAUUCUUGUCUCCCAAACACUGCACUCACUGGCAUGUGUCUACCAUCCUUGACUGUGCCCCAAUUGGAGUACACCACAUGACUCCAGGGGCUGGGGUCCAGAGGGGAAGUACAUUUGCAAUAGAAAUCUAUGUUCAGCAAAACAGGUUAAAAAUCAGUGGAAGCUGCAGCUAGGAAAUAGAACACGUGACAGAUGACUGGAUCUGCCAAAGCAGGAAGGACUGACUGUUUCCUGGUGUUAGCUGGGCAUGUGGCAGCGGGGCAUCAGAAAGAACACUGAGUUAUUCUAAUCAAAGGAGUAGUCUUUAAAGCAACCAAUAUUCUGUUUAUAGAAAGCAGAUCCUAUGCUCUCUUCCAGUUCUGCUCCACACCCGAAGAAGCUCAAGUUGGAGCAGGUGUUGCUGCAUGUCAUUGCUGGAUUCAUCCACAUGUGAGCUGGCCAGGGACACAUGGCCUUUGUGUCAACCCUCCGAUGCUAUGCCAGCUGACCGGCUAAUCCCGUAGUCUCCUUGGCUCUGGGAUGGUUUACCUUCGUGGUCACCUUGGCUGGAUUUAGACUCACCUAGAGGAUAUACUGCUGAACAUGCCUGCGAAAGGCAGACUCAUCGUGAGCCUGGUGGCACC